rnacentral:rRNA from 1 species
UGCAAGUCGAACGCUGAAGCACCAGCUUGCUGGUGUGGAUGAGUGGCGAACGGGUGAGUAAUACGUGAGUAACCUGCCCUUGACUCUGGGAUAAGCCCGGGAAACUGGGUCUAAUACUGGAUGCUACAUGUCACCGCAUGGUGGUGUGUGGAAAGGGUUUACUGGUCUUGGAUGGGCUCACGGCCUAUCAGCUUGUUGGUGAGGUAAUGGCUCACCAAGGCGACGACGGGUAGCCGGCCUGAGAGGGUGACCGGCCACACUGGGACUGAGACACGGCCCAGACUCCUACGGGAGGCAGCAGUGGGGAAUAUUGCACAAUGGGCGAAAGCCUGAUGCAGCGACGCCGCGUGAGGGAUGACGGCCUUCGGGUUGUAAACCUCUUUCAGCAGGGAAGAAGCCACAAGUGACGGUACCUGCAGAAGAAGCGCCGGCUAACUACGUGCCAGCAGCCGCGGUAAUACGUAGGGCGCAAGCGUUGUCCGGAAUUAUUGGGCGUAAAGAGCUCGUAGGCGGUUUGUCGCGUCUGCUGUGAAAGCCCGGGGCUUAACCCCGGGUGUGCAGUGGGUACGGGCAGACUAGAGUGCAGUAGGGGAGACUGGAAUUCCUGGUGUAGCGGUGGAAUGCGCAGAUAUCAGGAGGAACACCGAUGGCGAAGGCAGGUCUCUGGGCUGUUACUGACGCUGAGGAGCGAAAGCAUGGGGAGCGAACAGGAUUAGAUACCCUGGUAGUCCAUGCCGUAAACGUUGGGCACUAGGUGUGGGGGACAUUCCACGUUUUCCGCGCCGUAGCUAACGCAUUAAGUGCCCCGCCUGGGGAGUACGGCCGCAAGGCUAAAACUCAAAGGAAUUGACGGGGGCCCGCACAAGCGGCGGAGCAUGCGGAUUAAUUCGAUGCAACGCGAAGAACCUUACCAAGGCUUGACAUAUACCGGAUCGUUCCAGAGAUGGUUCUUCCCCUUUGGGGUCGGUAUACAGGUGGUGCAUGGUUGUCGUCAGCUCGUGUCGUGAGAUGUUGGGUUAAGUCCCGCAACGAGCGCAACCCUCGUUCCAUGUUGCCAGCACGUGAUGGUGGGG